UUCGUAAACCCCGAGUGGACGGAGGGAGCUCUUCAAUGAUAGCGUCAGUGGUGAAGUGCAGCAUUUCCACAGACACCUGGGAAUCACUGGUCCAAGACUGUCUAAAGUGGAGGAGGAGCAUCUGGGAAGGUGUUGAGCACCUCGAGACUUGCCGCCAAGACAAAGUGGAAACUCUGCGAAAACAGCGGAAUUAGCAUGUCUGUCAUACCAAUAACCCACCCACGCUUUCCUGUGACCAGGAAACAGGGGAUGUGAUAGCCGCAUCAGUCUGCAUUGCUGUCUACAAACUUAACCUGAGAGUGGAAGAAAGUCAUCCGCAUCUGCGAGGGACCGCCAAAAGUUCUCUGAGUAAAUUUUGACAGUGGUUCCUGGAAUGGCAAAUUGAUGCAAGGCGAAAGGACAUCUCAGCUCUUGGGAGACACCAACCAAUGACCAAUGAGAUGAAAGGAUUGAGGAAUGCACUGAAAAGGAAUAAAUUAAUUCAACCUUCAAUCAGCUGCAAAGAGAGAAAAAGAAAAGUUAAAUGAAGAAAAAUGGAAUGAGAAAAAGGAAAACAAAGAAAAAAAGUUUCCUAUUUAAAACUUAACAUUUUCAAAAUCUCCAACAAUGUACAAACUGAAAGAAUGAUAUUGUACAUUAAAAUUAUUACUUUCUAGACAAGAGAAGUUGAUUAGUAAUCAUCAACAAUUAACACAUUGCUCAGUGUAUUUAAUCUAAUCAUCAUACUUUAACUUGUUGCAUCAAGUUCAAUAUACAAAAAUAUCCAAAUUCAAGAACUUCAUGUAAUUCACAGGAUGGUUAACAGUGAAAUGUCAUUAUAAUUUAUGGUGAAUAUUUUCCUUGCCAGAAGCUAGAGACAGAGAAUCAUAGAGUUUUUGCAGCAUGGAAAAAGGACAAUCAGCCCAUCAUAUCUUGCUGCUUUGGAUUUAAAAAGGGAUAUAAGCACACUGGAAGCAGAUCAUAGAAGGUUUACUAGACUAAUAGAUGAAUUAUCUUCUGAGGAAAGCUGGGUUUGUAUAAGCUUGUAUCCAUUAGAGAUUAGAAGGGAAAGUGGUGAAUUGACUGAAGCAUGUGAGAUCCUGAGUGAUCUUUAUGGGAUGAGUCUGGAAAGAUUAUUUCCUCUGUUGGAAAUUGGGGGUCUCUGUUUAAAAAUAAGGAGUUACCCAUUUAGGUUACAGUUGAGGAAACUUUUUUUCUCAGAGGGUUGUCAUUUUUUUGGAACUUUCUUCAUCAAAAGGUGGAGAAGCAGAUUCCUUGGAAAUAUUGAAUGCAAAGUUAGGUAGAUUCUUGUUGAGCCAGAGCUUGAUUGGUUACCAUGGUAACUUCAAAUGUGGAGUCCCUGAACAGCCACAAGCUCAUUGAAUAACACAGCUGGCUUGAGGGGCCAAGUAGCCUUCUUCUUCUGAUCCAAAUUUGUCUGUUCAUAUGUUUGUUUGUGCAUUAACCACAGAGUGCAUUGUGCAGACACAAUUGGCUGCAUUUUACCAGCAACAUGCAUUUCUGGCAAAAUCAGGUCAUUGGGAAAUUAGAUCACCGAUGGAAUUGGAAACCCUUGGGGGCAGGCAGUCAAUUUCCAUGAGGAAAUUCCCAAUGAGACUAUUGGCACUUUUCCACCAGACCACCAACACCCUCACUCCACCUCCUUAUGAGGAGGCUGUCAUGUUAAAUAAUGACAGCCUUUUCAUGGCAGACAGGAGGAAUAAUCUUUUAAACCAAUGAGUGAGCUGCAGGUAGGGAAGGCAAUUGCCUGCAGUUUAAAUAUCUCCCUGGAUGCGAUUGUACUCGGUCCUGGAAUUUUCUUUGAAAUUUAUUUGCAUAGCUGCUGUAGGCUUCCUCAGUAAUGGCCACUGCUCCCAAUGGCGCUGCUGAGUUUGCUGAGUUGCUAGUCCUCUAGGCCAGUAGCUCUAGGGGGCAAGUAUUCCAUCGACAAUAGAAUGGCCCCCUGGCAAAACAACCUCUUAAUUUGCUCCAAUCCAUGAGGGAAAAGCCUGCCAGCCUCCUGUACAUGCCAGCAACAUACAUUUCCUGAGGAUCGUUCACUUAAUUAUCAAAUUCCAGGACAGUAUUCAGAAAAAUCUAGGUUGAGAUCAUUCAGACUUUACCUUCUGUGCUCCUGCUAAAGUCUACAAAUAGUCAACUAGAUUGCCUGAACGUGUAUUCACUCACAAGGAUCUCACAGAACUUGUCACGGAACAGAAUACUAUAAAUGUCUCAAAGCAUUUUAUAAAUGCCCCCUUUUAUCAUUAUGUUCUCUCUGACCGAUCAAAUACCAAAUAAGAAACAGGAUGGUUCACAGCCAUGAGUCAUGUCACUACUCUCUACCAGCUAUGUACGACUAUAAUUGCAAUAAAUUGGCAGCAACCCUAAACUCACUGGCCACAUCCAGAAGUCAAUGUGGUUCUAUGCUUCUGCCAUUAAGAUUGUGCCAAUUUCUCAGCUGGUGUAAAUAUAGGGAAUGCAAAACAAGAAACAAAUAGGAAUGAAACAAGAUUUAUUUUAAGUAGAGUGCUUAACUCAUGCAUGCUAUAAUUUCAUGACAACAUCACUGAGUGAUGAAGUGCUGCCACUGUAAAGAGCACUGUUAUAAUUUUCCAAAUCUGGGAACCCUUUCAAUCUUGUGUUUUGCCAAUAUUUCUGUUAUUUUACUUUUUUUACUCUGUCCCAGUUAACACACACAAUUACUAAGACAUAAUUAGAGAAAGGUCUCAGUAUUUACUAUUGGGGAAGGCUGCAGUAUUCUCCAGCUUGUGACAUGCCCAGAGAAUUCAGGGAUAUAGCAGCUGAUUUUACAGGCAGGAAAUCUUUACAAUAAAGGUCCAGGAGUCCUGACCAAUACCCUGUAGAUUUGUCACUUAGCUGGUGGGCAGGAUCAGGAAAUUGGCAGCAGGAAGGCAAAAUAAGAUUCAUGGGAUUGUUCUGAUAAUCAGUUCUGAAGGCAACUGGUAAUUGAGGUAAAAAGCAGAAUAUGAUGAAAGAUAGGCCAGAGCUUUGGAGUUCAAACAACUCCUCAAAUGGCAAUCCUGCUCUGUUUGGAACACACGAAGUGCAAACAAAAGCAAAUUUGGUUAAACUUACACUGGCUUUUUCUGGCCAGUCAGUUCCUCCCACCGUGAUUCUGCAGCCUGCACAUGGAUUGAAGUUAACAUGAGGUUGGAAUACCGCUGAUGUCAUUAGGCCACCAUUUCUGAAGAUCAAAGCAGCAGCCUGCCUGACCUUUGCAGGAAUGAGGCUCCAUUGGGAAAAACUGCUGGGGCCAGGAACACAGCUGCCUGAAGCUGAGCGAGGAUUUUCUCAUUUUAACCCCUCCCACAAGCCAUUGUUAAUAGGGAGGGUGUUUAAAAUCCCUGCCA